AAGGAAGCACAGUCACAAUCCAGGCAUGAGCCAGCCCACCCAGACCCACACUCACCCACAACAAGCCUGCAAUGGAGGAGCUUUUGAAUUCUCUUUGUGAUAAAGUCCUCUGGGGUAGAGAAGAGUGUUAAACCAAGAGGGAAGGAUUAAGCUCAUGCUGCCCUGCCGCCACUGACCUCCAUGAAGUAUGGUGUCCAACUGCAGAUGUAUGGAACUACAUCCCAGCAGAGGCCUAUGUGAAGCUGCUGUCCUGCUUCCAGACCUGGCUGAACCUCGUGGGCUGUCACUGAGGGCUGUGUGGAGGCACCAGCUCACACUGGCACUACAGCAGGGACUCGAGAAUUAAUUUCAGUUUUGGAAGUCUUUCCAUGUUUAAACCUGACUGAAUUGGCAAAAUCUCUGCUCCAGUACCAGAACCGUGGCAUUACAUCCCAGAAGAAGUCCUUGUUUGAAUAGUGUAUUAUCUUUGAGAUGGACAGAGUCUUCCAGGCAUGCAGACAAGGGGCUGCAGCUGUUCUUCCAGCUCUGUGUGGCACUUCACAGGGGUCAGGUGAGAGGAGUGGGGUCCUCUGUCCAAGCAGGAAUAACC